CCCUAGUAGCGGCGAGCGAAGCGGGAAGAGCUCAAAUUUAUAAUCUGGCACCUUCGGUGUCCGAGUUGUAAUCUCUAGAAGUGUUUUCCGCGUUGGACCGCACACAAGUCUGUUGGAAUACAGCGGCAUAGUGGUGAAACCCCCGUAUAUGGUGCGGACGCCCAGCGCUUUGUGAUACACUUUCAAUGAGUCGAGUUGUUUGGGAAUGCAGCUCAAAUUGGGUGGUAAAUUCCAUCUAAAGCUAAAUAUUGGCGAGAGACCGAUAGCGAACAAGUACCGUGAGGGAAAGAUGAAAAGCACUUUGGAAAGAGAGUUAACAGUACGUGAAAUUGUUGGAAGGGAAACGCUUGAAGUCAGACUUGCUUGCCGGAGCUUGCUUCGGUUUGCAGGCCAGCAUCAGUUUUCCGGGGUGGAUAAUGACGGUUUGAAGGUAGCAGUCUCGGCUGUGUUAUAGCUUUCCGUUGGAUACAUCCUGGGGGACUGAGGAACGCAGCGUGCUUUUUGCGAAAGACUCGUCUUUCACGCUUAGGAUGCUG
rnacentral:rRNA from 2 species